GACGAACGCUGGCGGCGUGCUUAACACAUGCAAGUCGAGCGGGAACCUCUCGAGGGGUAACCCUUGAGAGGGGAGAGCCGCGAACGGGUGAGUAACACGUGGGUAACCCACCCCGAUGACCGGGACAACCCGAGGAAACUCGGGCUAAUACCGGAUGUGCUCCUUGUCCUUGAGGACAAGGCGUAAAGAUAGCUUCGGCCUUCGCAUCGGGACGGGCCCGCGGCCCAUUAGCUUGUUGGUGGGGUAACGGCCUACCAAGGCGACGAUGGGUAGCUGGUCUGAGAGGACGAUCAGCCACACUGGGACUGAGACACGGCCCAGACUCCUACGGGAGGCAGCAGUGGGGAAUCUUGCACAAUGCGCGAAAGCGUGAUGCAGCAACGCCGCGUGGGGGAAGAAGGCCUUCGGGUUGUAAACCCCUUUCAGUUGGGACGAAGCUUCGCCGGUGAAUAGCCGGCUAGAGUGACGGUACCUUCACAAGAAGCCCCGGCUAACUACGUGCCAGCCGCCGCCGUAAUAC
rnacentral:rRNA from 1 species